rnacentral:lncRNA from 1 species
AACAGUUUCAAUCCACAAACAAACUGCAUAUAUAUUGUCCAUCCCAAAAUAUUUCGUUCAUUGAUGAAAAAUCAUAAAGUAUUGACAUUCUUUAUGUUCUAAUAAUAAUAAUAUCAUAAUAGUAAUAUCAUUCAAUUCUAAUAAAAAACAAAUGUCUUAAUAUCAUAAUGUACUAACAUCUAAAUGUACUAACAUCACUAUGAUCAAUAAGAAAAUGAAACUAAAAUUUUACAAAGUCUUCAGACGUAUCGUCAUCAUCCUGCUCAUCUGUAGAUGGUUGGACUGGUGUGGGCUGGACUGAUGUGGGCUGGACUGAUCUGGGCUGAUGAGGGACGGCGAGUGACGAGGAGGGUUGUGGCUGGGUCGGAGGGAUAGUGGAAGGAGUGUUACUCUUAACAACUUAAUCCGAAAGCAAAGAUAACAUUCCAUAAACAUUACCUUUCAGUCUUUACUCUUAUUUUUUUUAGCUUCCUAACAACAGCUAUGAACAACUUAAUCCGAAAGCAAAGAUAACA